rnacentral:lncRNA from 1 species
AAAAGCUCAAAAUGGGAAGGAAAUCGAAGGCAAGAGGGAGAGGGAAAAGCAAUCAAAUGACUAAUUCGACCCAAAAUCAUGGAGGAAGAGGUAUUCCUAGGACUGAGGAUUUGAAGAAACAGAGAAAUAUUAACGCAAUUACAUGCAUAGUACCAUUUGAGAUGGAGCGAGAAAUGAGGAAUAUACUAGUAAAACUCAGAUUGAAAGCAUGCAAGGGACUGGAACAAGCAGUCAAUCCUGGGCGGAUAAGGUGGAGGAAGAAAGAAUAGCAAGGAGACACAAACACAAGAGAAGAAAACGUAGAGCAGAAUUGUAG